AGAGUUUGAUCCUGGCUCAGAUUGAACGCUGGCGGCAUGCCUUACACAUGCAAGUCGAACGGCAGCACGGAGCUUGCUCUGGUGGCGAGUGGCGAACGGGUGAGUAAUAUAUCGGAACGUACCCUAGAGUGGGGGAUAACGUAGCGAAAGUUACGCUAAUACCGCAUACGAUCUACGGAUGAAAGUGGGGGAUCGCAAGACCUCAUGCUCAUGGAGCGGCCGAUAUCUGAUUAGCUAGUUGGUAGGGUAAAAGCCUACCAAGGCAUCGAUCAGUAGCUGGUCUGAGAGGACGACCAGCCACACUGGAACUGAGACACGGUCCAGACUCCUACGGGAGGCAGCAGUGGGGAAUUUUGGACAAUGGGCGAAAGCCUGAUCCAGCAAUGCCGCGUGAGUGAAGAAGGCCUUCGGGUUGUAAAGCUCUUUUGUCAGGGAAGAAACGGUUGUCUCUAAUACAGAUGGCUAAUGACGGUACCUGAAGAAUAAGCACCGGCUAACUACGUGCC
rnacentral:rRNA from 1 species